AGUUAUAGGCAAACAUAUAAAAAAUAAGCAUGCAUGAAAAAAGUCCUCAUAGAUGUUGUUAAAUGGAAAAAGCAAGUUAUAAAAUAAUACAUAUCGUGUGAUUCCCAAACUUAUAAAACAAAUAAGUAAUAUAUCUACAUACAGAUAUACAGAGAUGCAUUUGCAUGUAUCUAGGUGUGUAAAAAGUGAUUGGAAGUAAUGCUGAGAUUUUCAUUUCAUUUAUUACUGACUUUCUUGCAUUUACUGUUUUCCUGGAUACAGGUACUUCUCAUGUGUGGGCAGAUGGGCGUAGGUUCUUAAAAAUAAAGAGCAUGAUGCUUCUCAGAUGAGGGUGGUAACUGAGACCUUUUGAUGAACUUAAAGUGCUGGAUGUCAUGUUAUUUUCCAGGAGGAGUUAAUGAUGCAAAAUUGGAGGCCUGAAAUAAUUGAACCCUCUUGUUUUCCUCAAAAUAAAAAAAUGUGUAUGCAGUGUAUUCAUUUAUUUCUAGUUGUUACACUGUCGGCACUAUAUAUUUGAGGCUUGGAUAAAAUUUACAUAAUCAGAAAAAAUUAUUGAAAAGUAAAGGAAAUUUCCAAGUGAUGACUACGAACAAUUUGUUAACCUAUGGAAAAUGUACCUGAUUUUAAGUCAAACAAAUCACAUUCACCGCAUUAAGAGGUACUCUCAUGAGAUGAUGGUUAAGGAAAUAAAAAUGGAGAGAGGCCAAGGAUGAAACUGAACAUGUGGCACACAUUGCCACUGUGUGUCUCUGGCUGGUCUUACACCCAUCACAAAGGUGCCUGUCUUGGGGUGUGGCAAAUUGUUACAGAGAAGAUACUAAGUGCUGAACAGAUUCUGCUUUAUAUAGCAAAGACAUUUUAUUACAGUCUUGGAGCCAACAUAGUCUGAUUAUUUGAAGACUUAAAAACACACCCACAAUUUAAAGCAGGCCAGAGGGAUGCAUGUGGUGAGAUACCAAGCCCAAGGCAAUUUAUUGGCAGAAUUAAAUUCUGGCUAAUUUCCUUAGUGCCAGAGUGUCCAGCGCUCUCAUUAACUGCACUAGUUACCAAUGGAAAAUUUGUCUUUCAGUGCAAGGCACUUUGCUGAAGUGGAGCCAGCCUCCUGAGAAGUGCCUGGAAGAUUGGUUUGGAGUAUUCUGAAGUGGUUUGGGGCUGCCCAGAGUCUCAUGGGCAUGGUACAGUGACUCCUGUCAGGGACUCCUUUGGCCUCAGAGCUCUGCCCCACUAAGCUCUCUACAUGGCCGAGGCACCAGACCAGAAUGCGCCCUUUCGACAGGCAGAGAGAGCCAAAGGGGAAAAGAGCUGAGUCAAGGCUGCCAAGUUCCUGCUUCCAGCCCUACCAGCCGGUCACUCGCGCCUUGCAAUGAGGAAACCAGGAGUCCUAUCUAGAGCCUUUCCAUAGUUGUGGGAAAGAAGAUGGGUAAAGUUAUUGUUAAUCUACAGAGGAAGGAAUGAUGCCAAGUUUUUCAAGGCUUCCAGAGUCACAGGAGGAGUCACUUGGUAAAUCCAGGAGCAGAAACCAGGUACCAGUUGGAAGACCACAAUGUGUUUGUUCAGACCUGUGGGCCUCCUGGAUCCUUAGCAAAAGACCACACAGACAAGUGUUGAAUGCAGCUUUUAAAAGUAUGGAAGGGACAGUAAGACAGUUCUAAGCGUGGACUAGAAUAUAAUUUAAGGUUUCUGUGACACGGUGUUAGGACUCUUUCCUAGAAUUAUGAGAGCUGAACUAACAGCUCCCAGAUAACUGAAGCAUAAUAAUUAAUCUAGAAAAGCGGCCUCUUCUUUUCUGUGGUUGAACCUAAGUGUAGUUUUGACUUUUAACUAAAACUAGGUCAAUUAAGACCAUUGGAACUCUGUGACUGAGGAUGUGUGGUGUUUAUUGGGGAUUUAAAAUAAGAUUUUUGUUCUUUUAUAAAUUUUAAUAUAAAUAGAUUGUUUUCCCUAUAGUAUUUAGUGUUAAUUAA